rnacentral:rRNA from 1 species
UACGGGGGGGGCAAGCGUUGUUCGGAAUUACUGGGCGUAAAGGGCUCGUAGGCGGCCAACUAAGUCAGACGUGAAAUCCCUCGGCUUAACCGGGGAACUGCGUCUGAUACUGGGUGGCUUGAGUUUGGGAGAGGGAUGCGGAAUUCCAGGUGUAGCGGUGAAAUGCGUAGAUAUCUGGAGGAACACCGGUGGCGAAGGCGGCAUCCUGGACCAACACUGACGCUGAGUGAGCGAAAGCCAGGGGAGCAAACGGG